UACUACAUGAAGAUGGUGUUUAUCCGGAGUCCAUCUCUUGUCUCCAUGUCUAUAAAUUCUUUGUCUGUCAUUAUGGUUGUGUGUCCUUGGAAGAUGUUACUGUUACACAGUGUCCUUGGUGCCUGUUACCAUGGUAACUUGAACUGGGUAGCUAAUAGCUAAGCAGCCUGUUAUUUACAAUAGCAGUUGAUGUCUGGUAGCCAGACACUGUGGCUCUGAUGUAAUUUAAAAUAACCACGUAUUAAUGAAUGUUAGCCAGAUAUUUUGUGU